rnacentral:misc_RNA from 1 species
AAACAACAGAGCAAGUAUUAAUAGCAUACAACAAAAUAUAACCUUUCGAAUAUAUCCAAAAAUAACGAUGUCACACUAGACGUCCUGCUUUGUUCAUUCAACCAGCAAAAUCAUGCAAGAAUUGCCCACCAACCAUACUAUUAUUUCUUCCAAAUUGUCCAUUUUGUUCAUCAAAUCCACCAAAAAUAACCCUUCCACUACUCGUACUACUAUCGAUACCAAAACGUCUAGCUGCAUUCAUCGGAAAUGGCUCCGAU